rnacentral:misc_RNA from 1 species
UUUCCGUAGGUGAACCUGCGGAAGGAUCAUUCAUAAUAAAGUGUUUUAUGGCACUUUUUAAAAAUCCAUAUCCACCUUGUGUGCAAUGUUAGAUCUCGUCAAUCUUGGCGAGAUUUUUAUACAUCAACUCAUUCUUGAACUAAUUUGUCUGAAAAAUAUUAUGAAUACUUAAUUCAAAAUACAACUUUCAACAACGGAUCUCUUGGCUCUC